AUUGAACGCUAGCGGGAUGCCUUACACAUGCAAGUCGAACGGAGUGGCGAACGGGUGAGUAAUGUAUCGGAACGUGCCCAGUAGCGGGGGAUAACUACGCGAAAGCGUAGCUAAUACCGCAUACUAUUGGAGCGGCCGAUAUCGGAUUGGCUAGGGGGUGGGGUAACGGCUCACCAAGGCGACGACCCGUAGCUGGUUUGAGAGGACGACCAGCCACACUUGGACUGAGAAACGGCCCAGACGCCUACGGGAGGCAGCAGUGGGGAAUUUUGCACAAUGGGGGAAACCCUGAUCCAGCCAUCCCGCGUGUGUGAAGAAGGCCUUCGGGUUGUAAAGCACUUUCAGCGAGGAGGCGUUACUCGCAGAAGAAGCACCGGCUAACUCCGUGCCAGCAGCCGCGGUAAUUC
rnacentral:rRNA from 1 species